UACGUAGGGGCCUAGCGUUGUCCGGAAUUAUUGGGCGUAAAGAGCUCGUAGGCGGUUUGUCGCGUCUGCCGUGAAAGUCCGGGGCUCAACUCCGGAUCUGCGGUGGGUACGGGCAGACUAGAGUGAUGUAGGGGAGACUGGAAUUCCUGGUGUAGCGGUGAAAUGCGCAGAUAUCAGGAGGAACACCGGUGGCGAAGGCGGGUCUCUGGGCAACAACUGACGCUGAGGAGCGAAAGCCGUGGGGAGCGAACAGG
rnacentral:rRNA from 1 species